CAUUGCAAGAUAGAUACAUCUCCCCUUGAAACACAAUGGUAGAGGUCAUACAGAGGGGUGAGAAAGAUGAUGAUGGGAGGAAGAUGAUGUGGGCAGGGGUCGCUCGCCCCUUGCCCCACAAGUAGGGCAUGUGCAGACUGUUGCCAUUAGGUAAUGAUCAGGCGGUGUUUGGCUGCCACUCAGGCAUCACCUUAUACUGCGUACUGGCCCUACGUGGUGUAAUGUGGAACUGAUAAAAUGGGGUGUCGGGACUGCUGAGUAGAGCGAUCCUCAUCCUGCCACCGAGACUGUGUUGCUCCGCGGGGACGCCCGCUAAGUAUGGGCACCGACCAGCUGCUGCAGAUCCUGACAGCCCUGGCCUGUCUGUGUGGCACUUAAAUAUCAAUA